AUUGAACGCUGGCGGCAUGCCUUACACAUGCAAGUCGAACGGCAGCGCGGACUUCGGUCUGGCGGCGAGUGGCGAACGGGUGAGUAAUACAUCGGAACGUACCCUGUUGUGGGGGAUAACUAGCCGAAAGAUUAGCUAAUACCGCAUACGACCUGAGGGUGAAAGUGGGGGACCGCAAGGCCUCACGCAGCAGGAGCGGCCGAUGUCUGAUUAGCUAGUUGGUGGGGUAAAGGCCCACCAAGGCGACGAUCAGUAGCUGGUCUGAGAGGACGAUCAGCCAAACUGGGACUGAGACACGGCCCAGACUCCUACGGGAGGCAGCAGUGGGGAAUUUUGGACAAUGGGGGCAACCCUGAUCCAGCAAUGCCGCGUGUGUGAAGAAGGCCUUCGGGUUGUAAAGCACUUUUGUCCGGAAAGAAAUCGCGCUGGUUAAUACCUGGCGUGGAUGACGGUACCGGAAGAAUAAGCACCGGCUAACUACGUGCCAGCCGCCGCCGUAA
rnacentral:rRNA from 1 species